rnacentral:rRNA from 1 species
AGAGUUUGAUCAUGGCUCAGGACGAACGCUGGCGGCGUGCUUAACACAUGCAAGUCGAGCGAUGAAGCUCCUUCAGGAGUGGAUUAGCGGCGGACGGGUCAGUAACACGUGGGUAACCUGCCUCGUAGAGGGGAAUAGCCUUCCGAAAGGAAGAUUAAUACCGCAUAAGAUUGUAGUUUCGCAUGAAACAGCAAUUAAAGGAGCAAUCCGCUAUGAGAUGGACCCGCGUCGCAUUAGCUAGUUGGUGAGGUAACGGCUCACCAAGGCGACGAUGCGUAGCCGACCUGAGAGGGUGAUCGGCCACAUUGGGACUGAGACACGGCCCAGACUCCUACGGGAGGCAGCAGUGGGGAAUAUUGCACAAUGGGGGAAACCCUGAUGCAGCAACGCCGCGUGAGUGAUGACGGUCUUCGGAUUGUAAAACUCUGUCUUCAGGGACGAUAAUGACGGUACCUGAGGAGGAAGCCACGGCUAACUACGUGCCAGCAGCCGCGGUAAUACGUAGGUGGCAAGCGUUGUCCGGAUUUACUGGGCGUAAAGGGAGCGUAGGUGGAUAUUUAAGUGGGAUGUGAAAUACUCGGGCUUAACCUGAGUGCUGCAUUCCAAACUGGAUAUCUAGAGUGCAGGAGAGGAAAGUGGAAUUCCUAGUGUAGCGGUGAAAUGCGUAGAUAUUAGGAGGAACACCAGUGGCGAAGGCGACUUUCUGGACUGUGUCUGACACUGAGGCGCGAAAGCUAGGGUAGUGAACAGGAUUAGAUACCCUGGUAAUCCUAGCUGUAAACGAUG